rnacentral:rRNA from 1 species
GACGAACGCUGGCGGCGCGCUUAACACAUGCAAGUCGAACGGAAAGGCCUGCUUUCCCUUGUGGAUUGCGGGUACUCGAGUGGCGAACGGGUGAGUAACACGUGAGUGAUCUGCCCCCAACUUGGGUAUAAGCCUGGGAAACUGGGUCUAAUUCCCGAUAGGACUGCAGGGCGGUGCCUGUGGUGGAAAACGAUUUUCUAGUGGUUGGGGAUGAGCUCGCGGCCUAUCAGCUUGUUGGUGGGGUAAUGGCCUACCAAGGCGGCGACGGGUAGCCGGCCUGAGAAGGUGGACGGCCACAUUGGGACUGAGAUACGGCCCAGACUCCUACGGGAGGCAGCAGUGGGGAAUAUUGCACAAUGGGCGGAAGCCUGAUGCAGCGACGCCGCGUGGGGGAUGACGGCCUUCGGGUUGUAAACUCCUUUCGACCGCGAGGAAGCCACCUGGUUGGAAGGGUGGUGACGGUAGUGGUAGAAGAAGCACCGGCUAACUACGUG